rnacentral:rRNA from 1 species
AGUGAACGCUGGCGGCGUGCCUAAUACAUGCAAGUCGAACGAACGAAUAAGAGCUUGCUCUUAUAAGUUAGUGGCGCACGGGUGAGUAAUAUAUAGCUAAUCUGCCUCUUAGUAGAGGAUAACAGUCGGAAACGAUUGCUAAUACUCUAUACUUCUGCUUUACAUAAGUAAAGUAGAGAAAGUUUUUCGCUAAGAGAUGAGGCUAUACUGUAUCAGCUAGUUGGUAAGGUAACGGCUUACCAAGGCUAUGACGCAUAACUGGUCUGAGAGGAUGAUCAGUCACAUUGGAACUGAGACACGGUCCAAACGCCUACGGGAGGCAGCAGUAGGGAAUAUUGCGCAAUGGGGGAAACCCUGACGCAGCAACGCCGCGUGGAGGAUGACACUUUUCGGAGCGUAAACUCCUUUUAUCGGGAAAGAAUAAUGACGGUACCCGAUGAAUAAGCACCGGCUAACUCCGUG